CUUGCCAUAAAGUGUAGGAGAAACUUGGCCAGGGGAUGCUAUGGAAAAUAUUUUUCCCAGAUGAAAAGGAGUAUCUUCCCAGAGAGAAAGCUUCCUUCUGCACCUGUCUCCUACCUUUCUCCUUCAGAUGUUGCUGUUUGGAGCUGAGGCAGCCGUCCUGUGACCAUCUGUCAACAAAGACCCUUCGUAAAGGCGUGACCUGCUUCAAGAAACACGAUAUUUGAAAAUAUGAAAUCUACACAUCGAGACACAUUAAGAGUGACUGUUCGCAUGACAAAAGGGUUUGCCACUUUACAAAAGAUUCAUCCCAGUGUUUCUUAAAGAACCAUACAACUGUGAUGUAUUUUAAAUGUCUUUCAAUUAAAA
rnacentral:lncRNA from 10 species